rnacentral:rRNA from 1 species
UACGUAGGGUGCAAGCGUUGUCCGGAAUUAUUGGGCGUAAAGCGCUCGUAGGCGGUUUGUCGCGUCUGCUGUGAAAUCCGGAGGCUCAACCUCCGGCCUGCAGUGGGUACGGGCAGACUAGAGUGCGGUAGGGGAGAGUGGAAUUCCUGGUGUAGCGGUGGAAUGCGCAGAUAUCAGGAGGAACACCGGUGGCGAAGGCGGGUCUCUGGGCAGUAACUGACGCUGAGGAGCGAAAGCGUGGGGAGCGAACAGG